rnacentral:lncRNA from 1 species
AAUAGAGACUACUCCGUGCCUGGAUGAGUUUUGUGGACUGUGGAACACAAUAGUAACUGGCCCUAGGGGCAUGCAGAGGAACACUGGAUUACCAGAAGAGAAGGUAAAGAUGAUUAAAUUUGCAAAGGAAGCGUGAAGGAGACAUUGACCAGUACAACAGGAUUUGAGCUUCUUUCAGCAAACAUUCCGAG